AUUCAUUCAUUCUUCCUGUACUCCAGGCCCUGCACGAGGAUAUAGCUACGAACAAGAUGAUACAGACUCUUUUCAUAAUCUGUUCUCAGACGCCAAAAGCUGUCCUUCCCUACCUUGCUUCCCCCGAUGCUCCAGGCAGGAGCCCAUAAUCUCCAGUAUAUCAAAGAGGCCCCAUGCAAAGCACAGGACAGGCUCUACCUGCCUUAGAAGCUGACUCACUGGGAUGGGGCCAAAAGGUUCCUGAAGCAGUUAUACUAAUUAUCUUUCCCAUCUCCUCUUGCCACACCCUCCAAAGGAGAGAGGAGAAAAGAAAACCACCAAGCUGAGUUAAGUUGCUUCACUUGAAAGGUCUACUGGGCUUUAUAGAACAAAACAGCUGACUGGGAAGGGUGGGGCGGAGGGUUGACGGUCAGCCUGCAGAGGCUUGUAGAUGGCCCGAUCUCUCUCUUCCACCUGUCCUUCCCUCUGGCUGCUCCCUUUGGGCCUGGGGCUGAUUCACAGUGGGAGUGUCUCCUCCAGGCUCUGACUGGGAGCACUCUAGGGUCAAGAGUCCCACAGGAGUCCAGACCUGAUGAGCUGCUCAAGUCCCCUCUGUGCCCAGCAUCAUCCCCCUACUGGGUGAUUCUAUCUACACUUACUACCAUUGCUCAAAUGGCUCUCUUUAGAAACUGGUUUUGAAUUAGUAAUAGUAGCCUUUUGUCAUGUAUUUACUCAACAAUAAUAAAGCAGCUAAUUUACUGUAA